GAGGACUGAAAGGAGUGGUUGCAUCAGGUCUCCCCCACCCUUCUGCCUCCUGCGGUUGCGGCUUUAUUGUGGCCUCUGCUCCCCUGACACCUGCAUUUCACUUAGCGGGAGAGGCGGUGGCCAACUCAGCACAGGCUGCGGACUCAGCGUGGUGACAGAUCCCUCAAGCUAGAAGACUUCUGUUAGGAGAAGCGUUAUCCUGUCAGUUGAUUACCCUGAGUUAUUAUUAUUGCUGUUUGACAGAUGAAAAACUGACAUGGAGAAAAGUUAGACAAUUCCUCCAAAUCACAAAGAUAAUGCCUAGAUCUAGAAGCCAAACAGAUGGGUUGAAGGUGAUACCUAAUUUUAACAUUUGAUGACUCCUGCCAAAUUACCCUCUGAAAAGAAUUUAACAAUUUAUAUUCCUUCCACAUCAUUGCCUCUUUCCCCACAUCAUAAUGUAAGUCUUCUUAUUUUUUACUCACCAAAGGGAGAGAAAUAUUUACUGUUUAAAACUGAGCACCUUUUAAACUGCUUUUCUUUCUUUAUUGGCUUAACUCUUCAAGAUGUGUCUUUUUUCUGAUUGGACUAUUGUUUUUAUCUUUACUGGCUUUUAGAAGCUCUUUAUAUAAUCUGGAUAAUAAGCUUUCGUCAUCAAUAUAUGUUGCAGAUAUUUCCUCUCAGUGUGUCAUCAGAUUUUGUAUUUAUGUCUAUUUAUUAUGUCUGUGACCAUACAAAUUAUUAAAUUUCUUAUAAGGUUAGGCUAAGCUUCUUUCUUUAUGAGUUAAUGGGGGUUGUCUGUCUUAGAAAGGAUCUCUCAUUCCAAACCUUAAAACUAUUCUCCUAAUAAUUUUAGAUUUGUUCAACUGAGAGAGUGCUUAACUCAGGAGAUCAAUAAAGGUUCAUAGAGGAAGAAGUAUUUGAAAUUGUCCUGGAAGAACAAUAUUUUUCAACAGGCAGAGAUGGAGAAAGGACAAUCUACAUGAACAGAACAGCAUGAGCAAAAAGAACUGGUAGAAAUAUAUUGAGCUUAUUCUUGAAAAUAGCUAGCAGUUUACUCCUCCUUUCUUUUGUAUACUAACAGCAGCACACUGAACAAACUGUUCUGUCAUCUUGUUUUUAUCACUUACCAUAUCUUUGAAAUAUUUCCAUAACCAUCAUAAGGAGUAUCCCUAUUGCUUUUUGAGCAAUGCAUAGAAUUCCAUUUUGUGUGAAUAUCAUAAUUUAUCACUCUUCUAUUUUUAUCACUCCUCUGUUGAUGAUGACUUCCAGUCUUUUGAUAAUAUAAACAGUGCUGUAGUAAAUAAAGUUCUGUAUAUGUCUUUUCCCACAGGUUAGAGACUAUCCAUAGGAUAAAUUUCUAGCAAAUUGCUGAGUCCAGGAUAUGCAUGUUUGCAAUUUUGGAAGAUCUUAAAAACUUGCCUCCUAUAGGUGUUGUACCAGUAUAUACUUCUGCCAGUAAUAGAUGGGUGGGCUGCUGAUGCCUCAAAAUGUAAGUAUUUUCAAACUUUUAAAUUUUAGCCCAUUUAACAUAAUUUAAAAAUUAUGUCUCUGUGUGAUUUUAGUUCCAUUUCCCUUAUUAUAUAUAAGACUGAACAUCUUGGCAUAUGUUUAAGGGCCAUCUGCAUUUCCUUUUCUGUGCACUGUCAGCUUAUAUGCUUUGCCCAUUUUUUCUAGUAGAUGGUUAGUGUUUUUCUUAUUGAUUUGUAUAUAUUCUGUAUUACUCCUUUAUCACAUUGCCACAAAGAAAUGCCUGAGAUGGUGUCAUUUAUAGAGAAAAGAGGUUUAAUUGGCUCACAGUUCCACAGGCUAUACAGGAAGCAUGGCUGAGGAGGCCUCAGGAAACUUAACAAUCAUGGCAGAAGGUGAAGGGGAAGCAGGCACAUCUACACAUGGCCAGAGCAGGAGGAAGAGAGAGAAGGAAGAGGUGCUACACCCUUUUAAGCAACCAGAUCUUGUGAGAUCUCACUAUCGUGAGAAUAGCAAGGAGGAAAUCUGCCCCCAUGAUUCAGUCACCUCCUGCCAGACCCCUCCUCCAACAUUAGGGAUUACAAUUCGACACGAGAUUGCCGGUGGGACACAAAUCCAAACCAUAUCAUAUUCUUUAUACAUUUGGGAAAUUAACUUUUUUCUGUAAUAUGAUUUACAAAUAUUUUUCUCAGAUUGGCAUUUGUUUUUUGACUUUUCAUAUUGUGCAUUUUGCCAUGGGAAGUUUUUUUUGUCAUUAAAUUUACCUAUUCUUUCAUUCAUAUGGCUUCUGGGUCCUAUAUUAUACUUAGACCUUUACCAUUCUGAAAUUAUGUAAGAAAAAUUCUCUCAGGGUUUUUUCCUAGUAAUUUUAAGACUUUACUUUUAAUAUUUUGGAUUUAUCCAGAUGUAGACUAUAAGAUAAGGAUCCACAUUUUUUCCCCAGCUCUACAUUUUGCUGCUAGAAGAUUUUACAAAAUUUUGCAAUUACUUAGUAACUUACAUUUCUUCCCAAUUGAUUUUGAAAUCUGUAAGAGCAGAAACUUUGAUUUCAUAUUUUUAUUCUCUCACAUGCCUGCCCUUUAAUGCACUUCAACCCCAGCCCCAAGUUUUGCCUAGUACUUGGCAGUUAGGUAGUUGUUACUUCUGCAUCUCUUGACUGCUGGGGAGGAAAGAUUCCACCUGAGUUAAGGCAAGUCCUACCCAGGAUGUGGCUGCAAAUGAGACUGCAAAGUUCUCGACCGAUGUCUUUUCAUUAAACUCUGGCUUUUACCAAGUACAAGUACCAAGUGAGUCAUACCGACACAUGUAGAGGAUGGCAUCCUGAGGGGAAAAGAAUUAUAGUGGAAAUAACCAAGGCUGCUUGGAGAAAAGCUUCUCAGCUGGCACUGCAGAACAGCAGCCACUGCCACAGCAAACAGCAAAACAAUAACAAGCUUACUUGCAGAAGGUGGGAAGCUGCAGACGUAAAUGCAGGCUCCCUUCCCAGGCUACCAGCAGUCCCUGGGGAUGAAGUAGUCUAAAUGGGCAGCAGUUGUGGAGUCCUCCCCGCUCACAGGAAUGGAAGAUGUCACUCACUAGCAGAAGUGCUCUGGGGUGGCAAUGAGGAGUACUGUCUUUGGACUCUGACAGGAACAUCUGGAUGGCACCAGGCUCAGGGAGACGGGUCUUGUGUGUCCUGCUAAGCACUAACAGCAAUAAUUGAGCAGCAGCAAUCUGCCUCACAUCAUUCUAGGCCCUAGGAGGGCACAAAGUUGGUUCUUGGCUCAGGUUAUCAGGAAAGUAACGUAUGUGCGUACAAAUAAAGUGUCCAACAGCAGAAAGGGAUGCCCUGAACAGUCCAGGUUGCACAAAGGAGUAUGGACAAACAAGUAGUUUCAUCCAGCUGGGAGCACUAGGAAAGCUCAGAAGGAGGAUGCCUCCAGGAGCCAGUGAGUGUAUUCUGUCACCAGGUGCCUUGGAGAGUGGAGGAUCUGGAGGGCACUUUUUGAGGCUGAUAGGAAGAAAGCAGACGGGUGGAGUGGUAGAUGGAAUGACGCCCUCACCCUCUGCAAUGUUCACAUUCUAAUCCCUGAGAUAUGUGAAUAUGUUACUCUAGCUGACAAAAGGGACUUUGCAGAUGUGAUUAAGGAUUUUGAGCUGGGGAGGUGACUCUGAAUUACAUGAAUGGGCCCAGUAUAAUCACAAGGGUCCUUAUAAUAGGGAGACUGGAGUGUCAGAGUCACAGAUGAGCUGUGAUGAUGGACGCAGUGGUGAGAGAGAGAUGUGAAGAUGGAAGGAGAGGGCCAUGGGCCAAGGAAUGUGGGUGGUCUCUAAAAGCUGGAAAAGGCAAGAAAAUGGAUCCUCCCCUAGAGACUCCAGCAGGAACAAAACCCUGCUGACACCUUGACUGUAGGACUUCCAACCUCCAGAACUAUAAAAUAAUAAAUUCAUGUUGUUUUAAACCACUAA
rnacentral:lncRNA from 1 species